rnacentral:rRNA from 1 species
AAAAACAUGUCCGUGUGAAUUUAUUACAAGGUCUAGCCUGCCCACUGACUGGUGGUUAAAGGGCUGCGGUAAUUUGACCGUGCGAAGGUAGCAUAAUCAAUAGUCUCUUAAUUGGAGGCUUGAAUGAACGGCUGGAUGAGGGAUUAACUGUCUUCCGUUGUACAUGCUGAAUUUAACUUUUAAGUGAGAAGGCUUAAAUAUAAUAGUGGGACGAUAAGACCCUAUAAAACUUUAUAUAAAUGGAUUGAGCCUGUGAUUUAUCUGGUAAAGCGGGCUGGGUUUUUUUAUAUUUUGUUGGGGCGACAUUGAUAAAAUUUGUUGGUAACUGUUCUGUGAAUUUUAUAAUGGUGGUUAGGUAAAGAUCCUUUUAUAGGGAUUAAGAGUUUAAGUUACUUUAGGGAUAACAGCGUAAUUUUUCUUGAGAGUUCUUAUCGACAGAAGUAGUUGCGACCUCGAUGUUGAAUUAAAGUUUCGGUUAGGUGUAGCAGCUUAACUUGUGGGUCUGUUCGACCUUUAAAGCUUUACAUGAUUUGAGUUCAAACCGGUGUGAGCCAGG